rnacentral:rRNA from 1 species
AUGCGCCCUGGCCAGCGGCGCCCGUGGUGCCAUGUAGGCAGGCAGGCAGCUGAGGUGGCGCAGUGGCGGGUCUCCAGGAAGAUCCGCAUGCUGCCACGCAGGUGCCUGCCCAGCUGGUUGGGUCGGCAGCUGCAUGCGAACGGUGGUGGAGGUUUGACUGGCAUGGGCCUAAUGGUGGCCUUAUGGGUGUUCUUGGCAGGGGCCUUGCCGGGGCCCCGGCAAGGGCCUUGCUGUGGCACCUGCUGUCAUCCCCGGCAAGGCUCUUGCCGGGGGUCUUGUGGUCCUCCUUGGCUGGGAUCCUGCCAAGGAUCAUCAUCUUCUAAAGGGUGUAUCUGA